GUAGAGCUACUGAUCUGGUCAGAGGGGAGCCCUAUCCCUUUUUUGUACCUCAAGCAAGAAAUGUGUUUUGAGUUGAUAAUUGAAGCAUUGCAAUUGCUAGAAUGGGCGACAGUCCUACAAAUACUGAAACUGUGUGGAACAAUCGCAAGCCAACCAUGGAGGGAUGGCUCUGCAAGUGGACGAAUUGUUUCAAAGGUUACCAACGGCGAUGGAUCGUUUUGCAAGACGGACACCUGUCUUAUUUCAGAUGAGAUUCUCUGGUAAUUGCAAUUCUGAAUGUAACCCGCUCGACGAGGAGUUAAAGACAAGCUUAAAACCCAAUGUUUUGUGCCGGGGGGGUGGUGAUGACAGUGCGAAAGGAAACAAGCUGACACGGAACACAAAUGUCGCGGUAGCAUGCCCUUACGUGGCGCCUCGAUUCGCACAGAAGAUGCCCGCACUUUUUUUGUUACAUCGAAUGGUGAUACGCAGACGUUCCACUUGAAGGCGGCGUCGCGAGAGGAAUGUCAACAAUGGAUAACCGCACUUGAACUUGCCAAGGAUUGAGCCACAAGAAUUUUGUUUAUUAUUAUUUAUUGCAUCUACUCUCAGGGAUAUACAGAUCUUAACUUUGACUGUACAAACAAUUUUUCCAAUUAAAGAAUCUUCUAUUUGUUUAGUUUAGGGAUUUUGUUUACAUAAAAAAAUAGCAUGAAUACCUCUUCGCCUAUUUGUUUGAUCAUCAU